CCACACUCAUCGGGGAGCUUCCCGCGUCGAUAUCCGAACCGGUUAUCUGUCAGCGGUGCUGAGAUCGGGCUACAGCCCGGAACCCGCAGAUACCUGAACCAGAUAAUGCUGGCGUAGGAAUUGAGUUUGGUCUGCUG
rnacentral:ncRNA from 1 species